UCGCAUUUUGCGCCGACAGGUACUCAUUCUAUAGGAAAAUUAACCCUCAUGGUAUACGCCGAAUAACCAGCUGCCCAAUCCUAAUCCUAAUGUCAAAACCAAGCACAAAUUCGGUGGAUUUUGAUGGACCAGCUCGUGAAGAAAGCGAUGGAUGUUUAAGAAAACGGGAUGGGGUCGGGUCUAGUCAGUGAAUGGUUGUUACUGUGAACACUUUGGAUGAAACAAAUUUGGAAGCUAAGUUGAAUCAAGAAAGAUAAUAUAAUGGCACGAAGAUCAACUGCUUGAACAGGAGUAAACUAUUCACAGAAGGUUCUGAAUUUGUACAGGCAAUUGUGGCGCUUCGAAUCAUUGCAAUGCCAUUUCAAAUGGCAUAUACUUAGGCCAGGCUUCUAUGCUUCGAGACUCGAAGCGCUUUAAAAGGAGCUGGCACAAAUUCUGCGAAUGCGACCUGAACAGGAAACGAAUCGGAACACUUCAUUGAAUUUUAAAAAUUAUUAAAUUCUAAAUUUUUAGUUAUAACCUUUUGGCCUUUGUUUAAAAUAUAUUUUGGAAUCAAUAUAUUGCAUUUCAUUUUAAAAGGGCUAAUAAGGUACUGUAAGAAGGGUCUUGUGCUCGCCUUAGAAUUAUCCUAGGCUGUGCUUAAUAUUGUAAAUGGAUAAAUGAUUUUGUCUGCGUUAAGGCUGGAACUUUAAAAAUUUUAAAUCAUGAAAAUAUGCUGUUUAUGAAAUAUCUGCUUUUACCGCUCCUUCCAGAAAGUAAAAUUGUCGAAGGCUUUAAUCUACUGCAAUGUCAAGCAAUUAUGCUUUAAACAAGAAUUUGUUUUCUCCGUUUAUAAUAUAUUUUGAGAAGCAGUAGCUUGAAAAGGUAAAGGACCUAACAACAUAUUGGCUUUAAGACGUUCAACUAGAACCACGGACUCUGUCGAAGCAUACAAUUAGAAUUUGGGCAACAAAACGAUCGUAUUGGACAGCUCUCAAAAGAUCAUGGACGCCACGAUUCUCUUUGAGAUUGGAGAAAUCGAUAUGCGGGGCUUUUUGUCUCGAUUUUCAAGGCAGGACCUGUUUGACUGGGAUGAUGAAUCAAAUAUUUCCGGAAUUUUGCCUGAAAUGAAAUCUUCCACAACGUCACUUUCCUCGAAUGCUUCAAAUUUAAGACAUACCAUAAAUGGAACAAUGAUUCUUUAAAUUAAAAACUAAACCUAAGUGCCCGAGCUGUAAACAAGAAGUCAAAGAGGCAAUAAGUUAAGUUUUUAUUUACACCUAAAAACUGUAAAACCAACAAUAGGUUAUGGCAAAAAGCUAAUAAAAAAAA